rnacentral:rRNA from 1 species
CGCGUAGGCGGUUAUGUAAGAUAGAGGUGAAAUUCCAAAGCUCAACUUUGGAACUGCCUUUAUAACUAUAUAGCUAGAGUAUGGUAGAGGUAAGCGGAAUACCCAGUGUAGAGGUGAAAUUCGUAGAUAUUGGGUAGAACACCGGAUGCGAAGGCGGCUUACUGGGCCAUUACUGACGCUGAGGCGCGAAAGCGUGGGUAGCAAACA